UAUAUAUAUCUAUGUCUCCCAUUUCUCUCUGGCUUUUGUAUUUCAGUGAAAUCUGAUCAUAGCAGUGAGUAGAGGAGAAAAUAAUAUUCGAACACAGCAACAAGAGAUGCACUAUGCUGUCGGAGGAGAAUCUUCCACAAACUCUUCUACAUCUGAUUCAACUCCAGAAUGGAAAUAUGACGUUUUCUUGAGUUUUGCAGGAAAAGACACUCGCUUGAAGUUUACAGGUCACUUGGAUGAUGCUUUUAUCAAAAGUGGGAUCAACACUUUUAGGGACAAUGUAGAUCUUGAGAGAGGGGGAGCUAUAAAAGAUGAUCUCUUUCAAGCAAUUGAAGAUUCUCUUUGUUCAGUUCUUAUUAUCUCUGAAAAAUAUGCAAAUUCUACGUGGUGCUUGGAGGAACUCUAGAAGAUUCUGGAAUCCAAACAGAAAUUGGGUCGACGUGUUUUUCCCAUCUUCUAUGAUGUUGAUCCAGCCGAUGCAAGACAACAACAAAACAGUUUUGGAAAAGCCUUGGCUGAACAUGAAGACAAAUUUGGAAAAGAUACAGAGAAAGUGCAAAAUUGGAAAAAUGUUUUAUUUGAAAUUGGCAAGUUGGCUGGUUGGGACACAUGGAGCAAAAAACGUAGAAACUGAAUUGGAAAGGAAAGGAAACGCACGAGAGGGAGAAAGGAAGAAGAGAAGAGAAAGGGAGGGAGGAAGAAGAGAAGAGAAAGGGAGGGAGUUAGGUUUGGAUUUAGGAGUCUUUGCGACCAUUGCAAGCUCGGCUACACGAUAGGUCCAGGCAAAGGAUCCAGUGGUGGACGGGGAAAGAAGCAAAGCUAAGGGUUUGCUUGUGAUUUGUAAAGAACUGCAACCCUUUCUUUUAAGCAAAUAGAUUGUAAUGUAUUUAGAAUUAGGGUGUCAGUAGGAUAUGAUUAUGUAUGUGUGAGUGAAUAUGUGUGGAUUGUGUGCUUGUGUAUGAAUUUUUGUCUGUUUGUAGACUUGUGACUAGGAAACUUGGUUAUGGUGUGUGGUUUUGAUGGAUUUACUUAGUAGACCAAGUUUCUAUUACAAGCAGAUAUUUGUUUUGAUA